CGAUGAUUAUCUAGCUUGCUAGAUAUGAUUAGUGGCGGACGGGUGAGUAACAUUUAGGAAUCUGCCUAGUAGUGGGGGAUAGCUCGGGGAAACUCGAAUUAAUACCGCAUACGACCUACGGGUGAAAGGGGGCGCAAGCUCUUGCUAUUAGAUGAGCCUAAAUCAGAUUAGCUAGUUGGUGGGGUAAAGGCCCACCAAGGCGACGAUCUGUAACUGGUCUGAGAGGAUGAUCAGUCACACCGGAACUGAGACACGGUCCGGACUCCUACGGGAGGCAGCAGUGGGGAAUAUUGGACAAUGGGGGCAACCCUGAUCCAGCCAUGCCGCGUGUGUGAAGAAGGCCUUUUGGUUGUAAAGCACUUUAAGCAGGGAGGAGAGGCUAAUGGUUAAUACCCAUUAGAUUAGACGUUACCUGCAGAAUAAGCACCGGCUAACUCUGUGCCAGCAGCCGCGGUAAUACAGAGGGUGCGAGCGUUAAUCGGAAUUACUGGGCGUAAAGCGAGUGUAGGUGGCUCAUUAAGUCACAUGUGAAAUCCCCGGGCUUAACCUGGGAACUGCAUGUGAUACUGGUGGUGCUAGAAUAUGUGAGAGGGAAGUAGAAUUCCAGGUGUAGCGGUGAAAUGCGUAGA
rnacentral:rRNA from 1 species